UCUGGAAACAGAACUCAAGAAAAAUAUAUGCUGUGCCUGAAAGUGACUUUGUGGAGUUUCAGAAUGGGAGAAGAGCUAAAACAAGUCGAAGGGAUGGAGAUUCAAGCCUGCAGGAGGUCCUUGGACGUGUUGACCAGCUGAAGCAAGCCGCCGGGAGUCUCCAAGAGGUCACUAAUUCAAUCAACCAGCUGUCUCAGCUGGCCAAGUCUCAAAAGGAGGAGAUCAUGGCAAAUGUCGGUUUGCAGCCCUUAAAGGAAGCCUUUGCAUGUCUUGUGUGUAAAGCUGUAAUGGCAGAUCCCAUGUUCGCCACAUGCUGUGAAUCGAUAAUUGGAUGUCGUACCUGUGUGGAGCUGUGGUUAGUCACAUCAGACCACUGCUUGAAAUGCAGGGCAGGAGACUUUGAAAAUA